rnacentral:rRNA from 1 species
GUGCAGCAGGCGCGAAAACUUUACAAUGUGCGAAAGCACGAUAAGGGAACUCUGAGUGCCUCCUAAGGAGGCUGUUCAGGUGUCUAAAAAGCACCUGAAGGAAGGGCUGGGUAAGACCGGUGCCAGCCGCCGCGGUAACACCGGCAGCCCAAGUGGUAGCCACGUUUAUUGGGUCUAAAGCGUCCGUAGCCGGCUUGGUAAGUCUUCUGGGAAAUCUGGCGGCUCAACCGUCAGGCGUCCAGGAGAUACUGUCAGGCUUGGGGACCGGGAGAGGUGAGAGGUACCUCAGGGGUAGGGGUGAAAUCUUGUGAUCCUUGAGGGACCACCAGUGGCGAAGGCGUCUCACUAGAACGGCUCCGACGGUCAGGGACGAAAGCUAGGGGCACGAACCGGAUUAGAUACCCGGGUAGU